GGGAUAGAAUUCCAGGAGUAGCGGUGAAAUGCGUAGAUAUCUGGAGGAAUACCAAAGGCGAAGGCAGUCCCCUGGUCCGAUACUGACACUGAGGUACGAAAGCGUGGGGAGCAAACAGGAUUAGAUACCCUGGUAGUCCACGCCCUAAACGAUGUCGAUUAGCCAUUGGAAGGACCCCUUUUCCUUUCAGUGACGUAGCUAACGCGUUAAAUCGACCGCCUGGGAAGUACGACCGCAAGGUUAAAACUCAAAGGAAUUGACGGGGACCUGAACAAGCGGUGAAUGAUGUGGAUUAAUUCGAUGCUACGCGAAGAACCUUACCUACCUUUGACAUGGCCAAAGUUCUACCGAGAGGCGGAAGUACUCGUAAGAGGAUUGGCGCACAGGUGCUGCAUGGUUGUCGUCAGUUCGUGUCGUGAGAUGUUGGGUUCAGUCCCGCAACGAACGCAACCCUUAUCUUUAAUUGCUCCUAUUUUAACAGGCACUUUAAAGAAACUGCCAAUGAUAAGUUGGAGGAAGGUGGGGAUCACGUCAAGUCCGCAUGGCCUUUAUAGGUAGGGCUUCACACGUCAUACAAUGGUUAGAACAAAGAGCUGCAAAUUCGUAAGAAGGAGCCAAUCUCACAAACCUGACCUCAGUUCGAAUUGCGGUCUGCAACUCGAGCGCAUGAAGCCGGAAUCGCUAGUAAUCGUGGAUCAGAAUGCCACGGUGAAUACGUUCUUAGGUCUU
rnacentral:rRNA from 1 species